GUAUUUCUUCUGCACAUUACCUUUGAAAACUAAUACAAUUAUCAAAAUUUUAAUUUACUUCUGAUGCUUUAGGUAUGACAUCACUUUAGAAGGCUAUAUUACUCGGCUGGAGACGGUCAGACAUGUGGAGCUUGAGAUUGGCUACUCGGAUUAAGCUGGUGACAGAGAGCGAGAACUUUUGGAGAAAACUGGCUAGGAACCCCGCACUAACUAUCUGCAAACCAUUGGCAAUGUUAGUGCACCACUAAGAACUGAAAUCAAUAGUUCUAGUCUUUUGUUUAAUCCGUUUGCCAGCAACGCAGGUCACUCGCCAGUGGAAUUAUACAAUGCAUGCGAGACGGCCUCGUCUUAACAUUUUUUGAAGGAAGCCCGAGAGGAAAACAAAACAUAAUCAGGUCCAUCACAAAUGGCUAAGAUUCUUGUUCAUGAAGUUUAACAUUCAGGUAUGGCAUCACUUUAGAAGGCUAUAUUACUCAGCUGGAGAUGUCAGACGUGUGAAGCUUGAGGUAAGAACAUGGCAAAAGAAAGAUCCAGUCGUGGCAGCAGUGAUGAAAUAUGUCAUCUUAUUAGCUCUCAGUAUGUUACUCUGAAAACAGGAGCACGAAAAAGAAACAGGGCCUUCCUUUAUCGAUGGUGGAGACUCUCUAGCGUCUAUCAAGGAAAAUAAGUCCUAGUUCAUCAACAAUGCCUCCACAUGGAUCAUUCUCUUUUGGUCUGAGAUCAGACAUUUACUUGCAAUGCAACCAGUCACUGAACCAGGAACCUUAUGAGUUCUCUGGCACCAUGAAACAGGUUUUGCAGAACAAGUUCAGUAUAAGAAUCUCCAACAAAACUAGUUUGGAUGGCAGAAUAUUUGACGAAGUUGAGUUAAUUACAAAGAAAAUAAUUA